UUACGGCUAUAUCAAGUUGAAACAUUGGAAUUUUUACGAUCACCGAAGUUAAGCAACGUUGAGCCUGGUCAGUACCUAGAUGGGUGACCGAUUGGGAAUACCAUGUGCU